GUAGGCCUGAUGGCCAACAUCCCAAAUGAUUUUAUCUUGAGGAGUAUUAAAGACAUGGUGAAGAGCCACAGUGAGCUCUGUCACCCCUAAGCUUGAACUUAGGUGCCCUCCAGUCUUUGAAACUGUAUACACUAUCUCUUCUCGCAGUUCUUCGGCCAAUAUCUCAAGCUCGAGAAUAGAAAGAUUCUUCAUGUGAAUUGGG
rnacentral:misc_RNA from 1 species